UCGAGGUGACCACGUCGGGGGGUGUGGCGGCGCUCGCGCCGCCGCCGGUGGCGCCGAUCGCUCCGGCGACCAUGAG
rnacentral:tRNA from 1 species